CUGCGAGUGAAGCGGGAAAAGCUCAAAUUUCGAAUCUGGCGGUCAUAGAGGCCGUCCGAGUUGUAAUCUAGAGAAGCGUCUUCUGUGCUGGCCCGUGUACAAGUCUCCUGGAAGGGAGCGUCAUAGAGGGUGAGAAUCCCGUCUUUGACACGGACUACCGGUGCUAUGUGAUGCGCUCUCGACGAGUCGAGUUGUUUGGGAAUGCAGCUCAAAACGGGUGGUAAAUUCCAUCUAAAGCUAAAUACGGGCGAGAGACCGAUAGCGAACAAGUACCGUGAGGGAAAGAUGAAAAGAACUUUGGAAAGAGAGUUAAACAGUACGUGAAAUUGCUGAAAGGGAAACGCUUCGCGUCAGUCGCGUCGGUCGGGGAUCAACCUUUGUGAGCGAUCGCUGGGUGCACUUCCCGUCCGACGGGUCAGCAUCAGUUUCGGUCGUCGUACAAGGGCGAGGGGAACGUGGCACUCUUCCGGGAGUGUGUUAUAGCCUUUCGUCGCAUGUGUCGGCAGGGACUGAGGAACUCGGCACGGCCUCUGUGUCUGUGUCUAGGAUGCUGGCGUAAUGGCGUCAAGCGACCCGUCUUGAAACA
rnacentral:rRNA from 1 species